rnacentral:rRNA from 1 species
UAACGUCCGUCGUGAAGAGGGAAACAACCCAGACCGCCAGCUAAGGUCCCAAAGUCAUGGUUAAGUGGGAAACGAUGUGGGAAGGCCCAGACAGCCAGGAUGUUGGCUUAGAAGCAGCCAUCAUUUAAAGAAAGCGUAAUAGCUCACUGGUCGAGUCGGCCUGCGCGGAAGAUGUAACGGGGCUAAACCAUGCACCGAAGCUGCGGCAGCGACGCUGAUGCGUUGUUGGGUAGGGGAGCGUUCUGUAAGCCUGUGAAGGUGGCCUGUGAGGGUUGCUGGAGGUAUCAGAAGUGCGAAUGCUGACAUAAGUAACGAUAAAGCGGGUGAAAAGCCCGCUCGCCGGAAGACCAAGGGUUCCUGUCCAACGUUAAUCGGGGCAGGGUGAGUCGACCCCUAAGGCGAGGCCGAAAGGCGUAGUCGAUGGGAAACGGGUUAAUAUUCCCGUACUUGGUGUUACUGCGAAGGGGGGACGGAGAAGGCUAUGUUGGCCGGGCGACGGUUGUCCCGGUUUAAGCGUGUAGGUGUGUGUUCCAGGUAAAUCCGGUUCACUUUAACACUGAGGCGUGAUGACGAGGCACUACGGUGCUGAAGCAACAAAUGCCCUGCUUCCAGGAAAAGCCUCUAAGCAUCAGGUAACAUCAAAUCGUACCCCAAACCGACACAGGUGGUCAGGUAGAGAAUACCAAGGCGCUUGAGAGAACUCGGGUGAAGGAACUAGGCAAAAUGGUGCCGUAACUUCGGGAGAAGGCACGCUGACAC